GUAAUAAUUAUAACAAUAAUAAUCAUAAUAAUAAGAUAGUGCCUUGUGACAACGCCACCGUGACCACCGUGUAUAUAGUGCCACGUCUCGGUGACGUGAUCACCACUGCUAUGGUGGCCUACCACUGCCAGGCUGGGUGUCACCACUUGAAGCAUAACGUUUCAACUGAGUCUACAGUCUGUGUGGUAAUCUCAGAAUCCUUGUGUUUCAAGGCCCCUUGGCGGCCAAGGAGCAUCUUUCAAGUUGAACGUCAUUGUUACUAAGAUUAAUGCACGUUUUCCAGUCCGACUCUUGCGGACGGUCCUUAAGGACUGUAUAUAAGUCAAGCAACACCUAAAAUAUUGCUUUCCAGUCUUCUCGACUCUUGCACUUCCUUCAGCAGUCAUAUGUGCAUUGCACAUGUGCAUGCAUGCCUUAUGAUGAUAGCAUCAACGUCAAAAAGAAAGUAGACGCCAUCAUGGUGCCAGGCACCCUCCCAUAAUGAUGAAACCUGGGGCGUGAUUAAGAAGGCAGAGGUCAACCAUUCCAAAGGCCAUAUUGACCUCACCACCUUGAGGGCAUGGGUUCACCCAUGCCCAUUAAUCACGAGUUAAUGUACUCAUUGCACAAAAUUUAUGAGGAUUUGUUGAGUGUCUUCUUAGCAUUGCUUCUGGACACCCCUAAGAGGAUCAUAACUCACAUACAGCCUUCCAGCUCUUCAAUGGUCUGCCUCUAACCCCCGAAGCCUGGGCCAGUGCCUGACAUCUUUUCAAAGUUUGACAUCUGAUUAAAGAUAUUCUCAUCCGAUUCCAGUCAAUAGAUUUCAAGAAUCUUGCUUGAACGCCUGUAUACUUUUUCCCUCUCGAUACGUAUACGGUAUACCCAAAUGUUGCCCCAAUUAUGUGGCUGCAGACGCACUGCGUGUAAACCCUAAG
rnacentral:lncRNA from 1 species